rnacentral:tRNA from 1 species
GGGGUUGUGGCUCAGUGAUAGAGCGCUCGCCUAGCACAUGUGAGAAGGCCCUGGGUUCAAUCCUCAGCACCACA